rnacentral:rRNA from 1 species
UUAAUUAUAAAUUUAUUUUUAAAGUUCUUUUAAUUUAAUUAAAAUAAUAUCAAAAUUAGUAUAGUUUAUUGAAAUUUUAAUAUUUAAUUAUAGUUUAUUGUACUGUGAAGGAUAAUUAUAAAUUAAGUAAAAGUAUGAUUUAUAUUCAUUACCUUUUGUAUCAGGGUUUAUUAAUUAUUUAAUAAAUAUUUAUUUUUCCCGAAAUUAAAAGAGAUAAUUAUAAAUGAUUAUUUUUGUGUCAAAACGAUUGUUAAUUUGUAAUUAGAGGUUAUAUGCUAUUCAAUUUUAAAUAUCUGGUUUCUUAAUAAAUGAAUUUAAUUCAGAAUUAUUAAUGUUAUUUAUUAUAUUUAUUGUAAAUAAUUUGAUAAUUUAAUAUUAUAUGGGAUUAGCUUUAUAAUAUUAAUAAAAAUAUUAUUUAAUUUAUUUUUUGUAGGCCUGAUAAUAGCCAUCAAGAAAUUUUGUUAUAAUUUAUUUUAUUAUUUGAUUUAUUUUAUAUUAUAUUUUAUUUAUAUAUUAAGAUGAUGCAUAAAAUUUUUCUUUGCAUGAAAAAAUGAUAAAAUUAGUAGUAAUAUAAAAUUAAAUAUAGUAAUUCGGCAAUUUUUAUUUUCGCCUGUUUAACAAAAACAUGUCCUAUAGAUUUUAAUUUUAGGUCUAAUCUGCUCAGUGAUUGAUUUUAAAUAGCCGCAGUAUUUUGACUGUGCAAAGGUAGCAUAAUCAUUUGUCUUUUAAUUGGAGGCUUGUAUGAAUGAUUGGACGAAAAAUAGACUUUCUUUAUUUAAUUAUUUGAAUUUAAUUUUUAAGUCAAAAAGCUUAAAUUUUUUUGUAAGACGAGAAGACCCUAUAGAAUUUUAUUUUAAUUUAAAUAUAUUUUUUUAUUUUUAAUUUAAAGUAUUUAAAUUAAAGUUUGGUUGGGGUGACUAUGAAAUUUCAGUAACUUUUAUUUAAUUAUUUCAUUAAUUUAUGUUAUUUUUGAUCCUGUUUUAUGGAUUAUAAGAUUAAAUUACCUUAGGGAUAACAGCGUAAUUUCUUUGGAGAGUUCUUAUUGAUAAAGGAGUUUGCGACCUCGAUGUUGGAUUAAAAUUAGAUUUUGGUGUAGGUGCUGAUUUUCUAGGUCUGUUCGACCUUUAAAUUUUUACAUGAUCUGAGUUCAGACCGGCGUGAGCCAGGUUGGUUUCUAUCUACAAUUGAAAUUUAAUAUUUUAGUACGAAAGGACCAAAUAUUAAUAAUAUUUAUUUAUUUUAUUGAUUAAUAAUA